UGGGAUAGCUCAGUCGGUAGAGCACAAGACUCGUAAUCUCAGGGUCACGGGUUCAAGCCUCACGUUCGAGAAAAA